GCUUUCAAGUGAUCGCACCGCUGUGGCAAGUAUUUUAAACAGCGCUGUGAACGAAUAUUGUGUUAUCUGUGUUCUCAAUAUGGAUAUAUGCACCUUGGACCCGACAGGACUGUAUUAAUAUGGACUGCACUUUAGACCCUACGGGACAAUAUUAACUAUGGAUGUCAAGAGUUUAGACCCUACCGGUGUGUACUGACUUUCUUAUAAGAAUCCUACCAGAAUGGAAGUAUUAGAUCCUACUGGGCAAUAUUAAUCAAAACAAUGAUUGGGCUGGACCCAACGGAAAUCUACUGACUUUUAAAAUGUGCUGUGGAAGACGGAAAAUACUGACUGGCACACGACCGGAAGAAACAUCAUCGUGUAGAAAAAGGAGGUUUAGAACAAUUGUAGGAAGCAAGGGAUUGUAAAUAGUUCGAAUUAUGAAGGGGCGCAUUGACAAGGUCGUCGGUUUGAGAUCAGCUGACUUGCGUGCUUGCAAUCCGGAAAUACGCAUAAUCGAAUCAUACCUACGACUCUUUGCAACUAUAAAUACAUGUUCGACAGACUGUCAAAUUAAAUCUAUGGUAACCACAGCAUAUUGGCUUUUCCUUCAGUCCAGCUCAGAAUAUAUUAAUACUCACUAAUUUUAGUUGCUAAUUGACUGAAUUUGUGUAACUUCGUCUCUACAUAUCUUUCAUGCAUUUGUUAUUAUAAAUAAAUUAUUUAGUUAUAGAGUGUAUUAACUAUCGUUUAGAAUAGAAAUUAGUUUUAAUAUUGUUUAAGAGUAAAUGUAAUUAAUUUAGUAAUAUCAGUAAAAACAUGUACUUUAAUUGUAAGUAUAUAUUAUAUUAUAUAAUUUUAAAAGGACAAGCUAAUAGAGGCAAGGGUUUUUUGAAAGGUUUUCUUCAUUCAACUGUACAUUUUCCAAGGAACCUUCAAAAUUUACCGUUUAAUUUAUAAAUUAAGUAAUCAUUCUUAUUAUUUCGAGUUACCAUUUCUUAUCGCUUGGCAAAUGUAAAUGCUUCCGCCAUUUUGUAUUCUGAAAAUCUUUUAUGGAAUGUUGGUUUUGAGACUGUUUCUGAUUUUAGUGUUUCCGAUUAAGACUGAAGGGAUAUUUAACUGUUAUUUCACAAUCAAUAGUAAGAUCCCAACGUAGUUUAUGUUUCAUAAUUAAGUUUAGUUUAAGUUCAUAUAUAUAAUAAAGAUGUUUAUAUUAGUAUAA